rnacentral:tRNA from 1 species
GCCCGGAUGGCGGAAUUGGUAGACGCGCUAGAUUCAGGGUCUAGUGAUGGUUUACAUCGUGCAGGUUCGAGUCCUGUUCCGGGCAC